CGGAUCAGAGAUAGCAGAGCGCCGAGUUGGGGCCACGAAGGCGUGAGGGGAGUCGUCGUCCCUCCUGCACGAAAGCGUCUAAGCCUUGGCGACGCCGCCCUGGGGGACCCACGUCAGGCCUGGGAUAGGGACCGCUGUCCCCGGGUCCCUACCAAUGUCGCCCGUCGCUCCCGGCCCAGCUCUACCCGCAGAGUCUGAUGGCAGCGGCCACUCUGAGGACGCCAACUCAGGGCACUGUGACCUUUGAAGAUGUGGCCGUACACUUCUCCUGGGAGGAAUGGGGUCUCCUUGAUGAGGCUCAAAGAUGCCUGUACCGUGAUGUGAUGCUGGAGAACUUGGCUCUUUUAACCUCUCUAGAUGUUCAUCAUCAGAAGCAGCACCUUGGAGAAAAACAUUUCAGAAGCAAUGUGGGCAGAGCCUUGUUUGUGAAGACCUGCACAUUCCAUGUGUCAGGGGAGCCUUCCACCUGCAGAGAAGUUGGGAAGGACUUCCUGGCCAAGUUGGGAUUUCUCCAUCAACAGGCUGCUCACACUGGGGAGCAAUCAAAUAGCAAAAGCGACGGUGGGGCCAUCAGUCACAGAGGAAAAACUCAUUACAACUGUGGAGAACACACAAAAGCAUUCAGCGGUAAACACACACUUGUUCAGCAGCAGAGAACCCUCACUACAGAAAGAUGUUACAUAUGCAGUGAAUGUGGGAAAUCCUUUAGCAAAAGCUACAGUCUCAAUGACCAUUGGAGACUUCACACUGGAGAAAAGCCUUAUGAAUGUCGAGAGUGUGGGAAGUCCUUUAGGCAAAGCUCUAGUCUCAUUCAGCACCGGAGAGUUCACACUGCAGUACGACCUCAUGAAUGUGAUGAAUGUGGAAAAUUAUUUAGCAACAAGUCUAACCUCAUUAAACAUCGGAGAGUUCACACUGGGGAAAGGCCAUAUGAGUGCAGUGAAUGUGGGAAAUCCUUUAGCCAAAGGUCUGCACUCCUUCAACAUCGGGGAGUUCACACUGGGGAGAGGCCUUAUGAGUGCAGUGAAUGUGGGAAGUUUUUUACAUAUCAUUCCAGUCUCAUAAAACACCAGAAAGUUCACAGUGGAUCCAGGCCUUAUGAGUGCAGCGAAUGUGGGAAGUCAUUUAGCCAAAACUCUAGCCUCAUUGAACACCAUAGGGUUCACACUGGAGAAAGGCCUUAUAAGUGCAGCGAAUGUGGGAAAUCCUUUAGCCAAAGGUCUGCACUCCUUCAACAUCGGGGAGUUCACACUGGGGAGAGGCCUUAUGAGUGCAGUGAAUGUGGGAAGUUCUUUCCCUACAGCUCCAGUCUCCGAAAACACCAGAGAGUUCACACUGGAUCAAGACCCUAUGAGUGCAGUGAAUGUGGGAAAUCCUUUACUCAAAAUUCCGGCCUCAUUAAGCACAGGAGGGUUCACACUGGGGAGAAGCCUUAUGAGUGCACGGAAUGUGGGAAAUCCUUUAGCCAUAACUCCAGCCUUAUUAAACAUCAGAGAAUUCAUAGUCGAUAAAAGCCUUAUGAGUGGCAAAUGUGGAAAAUCUGUUAGCACCCUGGAGAAAGUCCUUGAGUACACAGUGAAUGUCAGAAAGCUUCAGCUGAAGGCCAUAUCUCAUUGAGUGCCACACAGUUCACAAGGGAAAGACACUUUUGAUAUGUAGGGAUGUCCAGUUGAUAUAACAGCUCUGAAGGAGAUCCCUUAUGAGGGUGGCAUCAGCCUGAAUUGAACAUCCUAUAUCUGAACAUCUGCAUAAAUUCCAGGUAUGUGUGAACUGCAUUGCACCUUUUGCCCUGCCCAGGGCCCAUGUCAGAUUUAUGUCUCUGCUGAUACUAUAGUGGAAGCCAUUUUACCUCUACUGCCUGGCAGGUGACCACCAGUGUGCACCACUCACCCAUCCCAGUGUAUUCAGGCCAUGGACCUGACCCAGUUUGGCCCAGAGGACUCUGCUGGUGACCUGAAAAGAGGGACUACAUAUUUCAGGAUAUUGUUGGUCUCACAUGACUCUUGAUAGAGUUUGCCAGCCUUCAAAUCACCAACUGUGGGAACCAACUGCCUCUUAUUGCCUUGGUUUGUACAAUAACAAAGGCCUUAUUAAUCUUGGGGGUUCUAUAUGUAUGGGUUGGUUUGAAAACAGUUGGGUUCUGCUAACAUGAAGGGGUGAAUAACUUUUUUUGGAGAUCCCAAACAUUGUGUAGCUCAACAGGGACAGGGACAGGGACAGUAGGAUGGCAGAAUAUAGCUCUCUCUCUAGUUUGAGCCUAGUUUUCAUUGCUAUUCAAGGCCUCUGAGAAAAAACUACAGGGUAUUGUCCUAAUUUAUAUCCUGGAUGCCAUAGAGGUCAGCCUGAGGAGGCAGCAGUUACUUGACAUCCUUUGAUGUUUCUGAAAGCAACAUGAAAUUGUUCUCUUGUUCACAAGGAAUACUGCAUCGUGUUCAGUGCCAGUGGGGGAAAUCUGUUCCCCAGGUCCUGUAUGCCUUGAUAUCCUGAAUUCCACAGGGUAGCACCACAGGUGGUAAGAUUAUAGUAGGAAUUAUAAUUGUUAUAGAAGUACUGGAUUGAUAGAGAGUGGAAAACUGCAAUAACACUGCAAUAAAUAGAAUGUGCCCCUUUUACAGAGGUUUCCAUGAUGUUCGUUAUUAUGGCUCUUAAGGAUGAGCAGGUACAGAAAUCCUCAGGACCUACAGAAUUGUGUAUCUUGUGUAGCUGAGGUCAUUGUCAGAAAUUUUAUGGAAUCCUGUAGCCUCUGGGAUUUUCACCUCAAGGUCAUUGCUAUGCAGGCAGGAAAACAAGGAUAGAGAAGGGAGGUCUAGGCCAUUGAUACAGCCUUUGUGAUCCAGCCAACAUUUCUGUUGAGUCAGGUGGAAAUGGCCUUCACUGUUCACUUGUAUUUGUGAUCACUGAGGCAAAAUCCUCUCCCAGGACAUGAGGAGAGAGAUGGUGGAAUCAACAUAGGGUUGUCAAACCUGAUUUUCCAAAAACAAUAGGAAAUUCAGACUUUUAUUUUGAACCAUAUUUUGUUAGGUUGGUGCAAAAGUAACUGUGGUUUUGAACCAUGAUUUAUUUUUAUUUUUAUUUUUUUUUGAGUCAGAGUCUUGCUCUGUUGCCCAGUCUGGAGGGCAAUGGCACUAUCUCAGCUCAUUGCAACCUCCGCCUCCCAGGUUCAAGCGAUUCUUCUGCCUCAGCCUCCCAGGUAGCUGGGAUUACAGGCACCCGCCACCACGCCCAUCUGAGUUUUGCAUUUUUAGUAGACAUGGGGUUUCACCAUGUUGGCCAGGCUGGUCUUGAACUCCUGACUUCAUGUGAUCCACCCACCUUGGCCUCCCAAAGUGCUGGGAUUUACAGGCAUGAGCCACUGCGCCCAGCCAAGCUUUUUCACCAUUCCAAUUUCCUUCAAAUGCUGAACAGCCGUGGAAUGGUUGACAUUGAGUUCUUAGGCAACUUCUCAUGUAGUUGUAAGAGGAUCAGCUUCUAAUAUUGCUCUCAAUUGGUCAUUGUCAACUUCCAGUGGCUGGCCACUACUUCUCUUCAAGGCUCUUGUCUCCUUUGCAAAACUUCUUGAACCACCACUGCACUGUACAUUCGUUAGCAGUUCCUGGGCCAAAUGUGUUUAUAUCGUGAGUUGUCUCUGCUGCUUUACGACCCAUUGGGAACUCAAGUAAGAAAAUCUCAGCCGGGUGCGGUGGCUCACGCCUGUAAUCCCAGCACUUUGGGAGGCUGAAGUAGGUGGAUCACAAGGUCAGGAGUUAGAGACCAGCCUGACCAACAUAUUGAAACCUCAUCUCUACUAAAAAUACAAAAAUUAGCCGGGCGUGGUGGCAUGUGCCUGUAGUCCCAGCUACUUGGGAGGCUGAGGCAGGAGAAUCACUUGAACCCGGGAGGCAGAAGUCACAGUGAGCCAAGAUCACGCCACUGCACUCCAGCCUGGACGACAGACAAAACAAGACUCCGUCUCAAAAAAAAGAGGCCAGAUGCGGUGGCUUACACCUGUAAUCCCAGCACUUUGGGAGGCCGAGGUGGGUGGAUCACAGGUCACGAGUUCGAGACCAGCCUGGCCAACAUGGUGAAACCCCGUCUCUACUAAAAAUACAAAAAUUAGCUGGGCAUAGUGGCAUGCACCUGUAAUCCCAGCUACUGGGGAGCCUGAGGCACGAGAAUUGUUUGAACCCCGGGAGGUGGAGGUUGCAGUGAGCCAAGAUCAUGUCACUGCACUCCAGCCUGGGCAACAGAGCAAGACUCUAUCUCAAAAAAAUCGCUGAAAUUUGAGUUUUGUCUAACAUUUCCAUAGUCUAAAAUAAACAUAAACAGCAAGUAGUAAGUCAGCAAAAAAACAUAAAGCGAGAAAUGCCUAUUAAAAUGAUGUAUAACCACAUUUAUUUAAGAAUGUUUUCCAAUAUAAAAUGGCAAAAUCCAACAUGCAAAAACGGCAAUUACUUUUGCACUAACCUGAUAAUAAUUUUAAUAAGAAUAAAUGGUACAUAUUUAAACUAUAUAAUUUGAUCAGCUUUGAUAUUCAUAUUAACCUGUAAUUGCUCCCACCAUGCCAAUUUUGAAACUGCCAACAUGUUACUGAAUGUAGAAUUGGGAAGAGUUGCUGAUAGCAUCCUAAUAUAUUCUGUUUCUACCAUACUGAUACAGUGGCCACGAAUAACCUCAAGAAUGUAGAAAAUAAAAUGUAGUGAAAUGAUUAGGAAGAAGUUGUUUCUUCACAAUCAUGACAAUGAACGUGUCAUUCCACAAGUUACCUCAUUGUCCUUUAAUAAUUAUCUGCCUAUAGGCAACUAUUGAUUUACUUUCCAUUAUAAUACAUUAGUUUUCAUUUGCUAGAAUUUUAUAUGAUUGAAACCAUAAUGUAUUUACUCUUUUUUAAUCCCUGGGUAUAGUCACGUAUUUAUUUUGAGAUUCAUCAUUAUACCUCUAUGAGUAGUUUCUUUUUUUUGUAUUGCUGAGAAGUAUGAUGUUCUGUGGAUAUACCAGUAUUCGUUUAUUCAUUCAUUCAUUUGUUAUGGAUAUUUUGAGUAGUUUUUUAAAGUAGUUUGAGGUAUAAUGGAACUUAAAGUGCUUAUAUUUAAAAUGCAUAUUUUGAUAUUUUCAUACAUGCUUACACCCUGGAACGCAGUUUCCUUCUGUCUUUUUAGUUCAUUCUCAACAUAUAAAAUUAAUUUUCAUUGUGUAAAAUUACUGGUACAAUGACAUAUUUUGUCUCCUGUUACAGCUGUGUUCAAUUACAAAAAAAGAUGGAAAAGACUGUUAUGAAGCCAGAUGAACCUUUCUCCAGUCUUCCUUCACUAUUUUUUUUUCCUUCACCAUUUAUCAUUUCAUAGUCAUUUAUGUUUCAUCGGUCCUCAUGUGUACUAGUGCGUUAUUUUACUUAUACUCCCGGAUAUCAUAUUAUUUAAUGCAUAGCCUCUUCAGAAUGCAAUUUUAAAAUGUAAAGGCUCUUUUAUAACCCCCCAAAAAAUCACACAAAUAUAUUUUAAAAUGUAAAUAUUUUAUCGCUUCUGUUUUCUCAGUUGUCUAAAACAAUGUGUUUCUUAAGGAAGAUCAUUUUUAUUCAGGAUCCAAAUGUAUAUUUAAUAGCUUUCAGUAGUUGUAUCUCAUAAGUCUGUAACCUACAGGUUCCAUUUACCUUUGUUUUCUUAUUUCUUGAAGUUGCUGAGUCAUUUUUUAAUUAGAAUUUGCUGUAUUCU
rnacentral:lncRNA from 1 species